GUGAGAGAGAUCUGAGAAAACCGCUACGUUUCAGUUUAUCGGGUUUUUCUCCAUUUUCUGAUAUUCGUUUUGGUAGUUUCUUGUCUCCAGAAAGCUCAGAGUCAGGAAUCGAAAGAUUCCGACAGAGUGUCAGGUUUGCCGGUUAACAGCCGUGAAGUUCCAGCACUCCGCUGGAUACGUCAAAAUCCGGCAAGAAGACGAGAAGGCGCCGUUCUAUUGGUUUUUGGAAGCGGAAAGCGGAGUAUCAUAAAAACAUCUGCUGCUUUGGCUCAAUGGAGUGAUGCCAUGUAGCAUAUUGUUCAUAGCAUAGAUGGUUUGGAGAACUCAAGAUGUUGUCUCCGGCUGGCCGCGACGAAAGCUGGAUCUUGAGUCACACCAGAUGCAAAACGAACUCCCUCUGUUUAAAUGAAGGUAAACCAUAACAGCGGUACUAUUGCUAGGUUCACCUGCGAGUAGAGUUGCUUCAACUACAAGUCUCCUUGCUAUAUUUAAAGUUCACAGAGAGAGAGAGAGAGAGAGAGAGAGAGAGAGAGAGAGAGAGAGAUGGCCGAGAUUGAAGGAAGAGGGAGAAGGGUCCCACCCAAGAGGGGGGCAGUGAAGAAGGCUAUCUUUGCAGCAAUAGCACGAGCUAUGGUAUCCCUUUUAUGUGGAGGGAAGCAGCGUCAUCGUGGUAACCUGCAUUCGUAAAUGUAUUUCAGCUGUAAUUACCACAUGAAUGUUAAUGUAACUGCCGUGAUUUUUUAUAAAAUAAAAUAAUAAUAAAAAUAAUUAAUUGAUAGUGUAAA